AUGCUCUUACUGGCCUCUUCCCUCAACGCCGACCACCAGGAGCCACAACCAGCUGGCCGCCAGAAGCCCCCAACUAGCCGGCCACCAUGCUCCACCGGCGGAUCGGCGAAGGGGAGGACCACCCUGCGUGCCUCUGCCCCGAGGUCCUCGCCGCGCCACGACGACGAUGGUUGGCUAGGCCGCACCACCACCAUCCCAGUCCACCACAACGUCCUCCCCAACCGUCCCGCUGCUCCCUCCCCUACCGGAUCCAGCCCCAUCGUCGCCGUUCCCUGCCGUCGUCGACGAGAUGCGGCCUCUGCAUCGGCGGGGUGUGCCCAUCAUCCUCGGCGAGAUGCAGCCGCCCUCUCCUUCCUCACGCUCGAGGCUGGCCGAGCUCCUUCCCAUCCGUCUCUGAUUGAGCCGAUUCCCUCCCGUCUGCAUGCUCGGUGAUGAAAAAAUCAUAGGUCUAGCAUUGGAUCUGAUUACCAUCUCAUAGAUUACACUGGAUUUUUUUGGGUCUUUUGUUCUUGAAGCAUCCGUCUCUGAUUGAGCCUUGGCCUAACUCAUCGGGAUGUGAAGCCAGAAAAUUUACCCCUUACUUCUGAUGGACACAUCAAGAUUGCUGAAUUUGGUAGCAUGAUGAAGCAUACUGUGGACACUCCAAUCAGAGUCCUCCCAAAUUCAACUAGAUUGCACGCCAUGGAUGUUUUCUUGUUGAUUUAUUGGCAGCAAAUGAUCUUGUUUUACUACAUUGUACAGCAACAAAUGUCACCACGCAUAUGCAUAACGGGGACUGCCUACAGCACAUUAAGGCUUGCAAAACACGGGAGUUUGGUUUAGGGCAAGGGGCAAGGUGGGAGGGCUUCGGUACAACACAAUUAUACCAAGUUGGCCUUGGCAAUAGCCCAGAUUGUAUACGAUAACUGGGAAGUUGCAUAACACGGCGAUACUAAUUUGGCUAGAUGAUGUUUUUGUUUAAGUUGAUUUAUUUUUGCUAGUCACAUUUUUGUUGGCAUCCGCAGUAGUUGUAGUUGCACACAUAGUAGUUGUUGGAUACGACCAUUAGAAAGUUGCACAACACAACACUACUAAGAUAGUUGGAUGAUGUCUUGCGUUCGCAUUGCUUAUUCAAGAAUAGCUAGAUGGGCGACGUUCUGAGCUCGACCAAUUCUGGCCAAAUUAUUAUCUGGCUAAUUUGCAAUUCAGAUUUGAGCACUCGUUAUAGAACAACUUGUGCCGGCAUGUUGCUUUGGAUUUGUUUUCUCUUUUGACGCUUAAUUAGACCAAUGGUGACACACAUAUUAGUCCUAUAAUUUUGUCCUCCA